rnacentral:tRNA from 1 species
UGCGGGAAAGAGCAAUCAGGAUGUUCGCUGGGCUCAUAACCCAGAGGUGAGGGUUCAAAUCCCUCUCCCGCUA